CUGGCGGCGUGCCUAAUACAUGCAAGUCGAACGGUCUUUCUAUGGAAGCUUGCUUCCACUGAGAAGAUAGUGGCGAACGGGUGAGUAACACGUGGGUAACCUGCCCAUAAGAGGGGGGAUAACAUCCGGAAACGGGUGCUAAUACCGCAUAGUUUUCUUGAUCGCAUGAUUGAGAAAGGAAAGACGGCCUUUGUGCUGUCGCUUAUGGAUGGACCCGCGGCGUAUUAGUUAGUUGGUGAGGUAACGGCUCACCAAGACGAUGAUACGUAGCCGACCUGAGAGGGUGAUCGGCCACAUUGGGACUGAGACACGGCCCAAACUCCUACGGGAGGCAGCAGUAGGGAAUCUUCCGCAAUGGACGAAAGUCUGACGGAGCAACGCCGCGUGAGUGAAGAAAGGUUUUCGGAUCGUAAAACUCUGUUGUCAGAGAAGAACAAGUUGGAGAGUAACUGCUCCAGCCUUGACGGUAUCUGACCAGAAAGCCACGGCUAACUACGUGCCAGCAGCGGC
rnacentral:rRNA from 1 species